GAGUUUGAUCCUGGCUCAGAUUGAACGCUGGCGGCAUGCCUUACACAUGCAAGUCGAACGGCAGCAUGAUCUAGCUUGCUAGAUUGAUGGCGAGUGGCGAACGGGUGAGUAAUACAUCGGAACGUGCCCUGUAGUGGGGGAUAACUAGUCGAAAGAUUAGCUAAUACCGCAUACGACCUGAGGGUGAAAGUGGGGGACCGCAAGGCCUCAUGCUAUAGGAGCGGCCGAUGUCUGAUUAGCUAGUUGGUGGGGUAAAGGCCCACCAAGGCGACGAUCAGUAGCUGGUCUGAGAGGACGAUCAGCCACACUGGGACUGAGACACCGGCCCAGACUCCUACGGGAGGCAGCAGUGGGGAAUUUUGGACAAUGGGGGCAACCCUGAUCCACAAUGCCCCGUGUGUGAAGAAAGCCUUCCGGUUGUAAAGCUCUUUUGUUCGGAAAGAACGAGUAUGGUUCGAAUCGGGCCCUACCUUGCCGUCCUAACGAGAAACGACCGGCUAACUACGUGCCAGCAGCCGCGGUAAUACGUAGGGUCCAAGCGUUAAUCGGAAUUACUGGGCGUAAAGCGUGCGCAGGCGGUUGUGCAAGACCGAUGUGAAAUCCCCGAGCUUAACUUGGGAAUUGCAUUGGUGACUGCACGGCUAGAGUGUGUCAGAGGGGGGUAGAAUUCCACGUGUAGCAGUGAAAUGCGUAGAGAUGUGGAGGAAUACCGAUGGCGAAGGCAGCCCCCUGGGAUAACACUGACGCUCAUGCACGAAAGCGUGGGGAGCAAACAGGAUUAGAUACCCUGGUAGUCCACGCCCUAAACGAUGUCAACUAGUUGUUGGGGAUUCAUUUCCUUAGUAACGUAGCUAACGCGUGAAGUUGACCGCCUGGGGAGUACGGUCGCAAGAUUAAAACUCAAAGGAAUUGACGGGGACCCGCACAAGCGGUGGAUGAUGUGGAUUAAUUCGAUGCAACGCGAAAAACCUUACCUACCCUUGACAUGCCACUAACGAAGCAGAGAUGCAUUAGGUGCUCGAAAGAGAAAGUGGACACAGGUGCUGCAUGGCUGUCGUCAGCUCGUGUCGUGAGAUGUUGGGUUAAGUCCCGCAACGAGCGCAACCCUUGUCUCUAGUUGCUACGAAAGGGCACUCUAGAGAGACUGCCGGUGACAAACCGGAGGAAGGUGGGGAUGACGUCAAGUCCUCAUGGCCCUUAUGGGUAGGGCUUCACACGUCAUACAAUGGUGCAUACAGAGGGUUGCCAAGCCGCGAGGUGGAGCUAAUCCCAGAAAAUGCAUCGUAGUCCGGAUCGUAGUCUGCAACUCGACUACGUGAAGCUGGAAUCGCUAGUAAUCGCGGAUCAGCAUGCCGCGGUGAAUACGUUCCCGGGUCUUGUACACACCGCCCGUCACACCAUGGGAGUGGGCUUUACCAGAAGUAGUUAGCCUAACCGCAAGGAGGGCGAUUACCACGGUAGGGUUCAUGACUGGGGUGAAGUCGUAACAAGGUAACC
rnacentral:rRNA from 1 species